UUUAUUUUGUUCUUUUCUCUACCUUCUUACGAUCUAUACAAUUCCUUUUCGUGCGCUUCUCCUAAACUUUUUUUUUCUUCUUCUUUCUGCCACCUUGCUCCCCUCUUGCGUCCCUCUGUAUUCUUUCCGUUUUCGAUUUAGUCUCAUUCGCACUGUCACCGACUUCUCGACUCUUCUGGGCCUCUGUUGUCCUUCUUUCCCCCUGGUUCCAGCGGUCCUGCGGGAUUCCCGGGGUCCGCCCCGGGGUGGGUCGCCCGGCUCCCCUGGGCGCUGCGCCCUCGCGCAGGCGGCCCCUGGCCACCAGUCCCUGCUGCGCCCUUCCCUCCCCCGCUGCACCUGGAGAGCGAGCCGGGGAGAGACCCCUGGGCGGGGGGACGACACAUCACCCGUUUUCUCUCUGACCGCGGGCGUCGCGGGCGAGAAGGGCAGCGCCCGGCGGAGAAAGGCCGGGUCCCCGCGCGCGGCCCCUCUGCCCCGCCCGCCGCCGGCCGCCCGUUUGAUGUCGCGGGCCCCGCAGGAAUGCGGCCGGGUUAUCAAUCACCCAGCUGGAUCCCGAAGGUCUCGGCCUAAUCACAUUUAAUUGCUCGUGGAGGCCCACUCUCGCCCCGGGCCGGCCGCCGCGCUCAAUUACUCCCCAAAUACCUGCCAUCAAUAAAUGCGCGCUGACACCGGCCCGGCCCGCUCCGCUGGCCCUGGAGACCUCAGUCGGCCAGGCGCCCGCACCCCACCCCCACCCCCGUCAUUAAACUUACACCUCGACGCUGGAGGAGCAAGCCCAGCAGGUAACAGUCCCCUAUUAUUGAGCGCUUCCCAAGGGCCAGACACGGGUGCCUAGCGAUUUACACGCAUCAGUCAGGUGGGGUCUCAGCACCGUCAGGGGAUGCGGGUACCUUCUCGGUUGGAGUUACGGGAACUUAGGUUCCUCCGUUAACGUGCCCGAGGUGGCAAAGAAACCUUGGCAUUCAAAAACUGUGAGCUCUCCCACGUUCACAGAGCAGAACAGUAAACCUCAGACAGCAAAGUGCCCAGAGAGGUGACAUCGCAAGGCUGGAAUCACACAGGGCUGAUAAGGAAACUGAGACCCUGAGAGAUUACGUUAUUCGUCUGUCGUCUCACAGCCGGGGAAUGGCAGAGCUGGAAUUUGAACCGGUGGAUUCCAAGGAACAUGCUCUCAGAAGUACUCUUGCAGAGCGUCCACCAUCUCCAGGAUGAAGGGGAUGGUCCUUGGGCCCAUUGGGUUU